CAGUCGCCGCGGGAAUACGAAGGGUGCAAGCGUUACUCGGAAUUACUAGGCGUAAAGCGUGCGUAGGUGGUGGUUUAAGUCCGUUGUGAAAGCCCUGGGCUCAACCUGGGAAUUGCAGUGGAUACUGGGUCACUAGAGUGUGGUAGAGGAUAGUGGAAUUUCCGGUGUAGCAGUGAAAUGCGUAGAUAUGUGGAGGAACACCGAUGGCGAAGGCAGCCAUCUGGGACAACACUGACGCUGAGGCACGAAAGCGUGGGGAGCAAACAGGAUUAGAUACCCCAGUAGUCCCUGUCUCUUAUAC
rnacentral:rRNA from 1 species